GCAGCCGCGCGGCCUCCUGGUCUCGCGCCGGCCCCGCUCUCGCGCCGGGCGUCUGGUACUGCUGCUCCUUGCCCGACAUGGUCAUUCCCAAGCCUCAACAGAUUAAUAACCUCCAGACCAAGAGAACAAACAACCUCACCCCAAACUGAAUUAUGCUCAAGACUUCAGAUCAAAAGCUACAAACAACAAUAUAUGUCGCUGGAAAUAACAGAUGAAAAACAACAAGUUAGACUGCUAAAAAACAACCUACAAACUACUUCACCACUGAACAACAAUAAAGGAAAAUUGGCAGAAAUAUGGCAGAGAUAGCAUCAAACCAGGUACCAAUCUGUCACUGAAUCAUAAGUUGACAACAAUGACAAAUGGACUAAGGAUAGAAACUCAAAGACAUUGUGAAACCCUAUCAUGGGUAGAUCGAUGCUUAUACUCAAGCUCAAGAUAUACUCAUAUAUAUACUCAAGAUAUACUCAUCUACCUCUGACAGAUAUCCAGGAUUUCCCUUCUUUUUACACAUUAGCUAAACUGAUAUGCCUUUUACAUAUACAGAUGAAUAAAAGUUAUGUAUGCUCAGUUAGACCUUCCAUUAUACUUGUGUUACCUUUUCAUCUUAAAUUCUGCCUUCUGUGACAUCUAUACAAACGUAUUGCUUUCAGUGGAUUGCAUAGCUGUAACUAUCAGGAACUAAGUGAACAAUUCUGUUGGUGGUGCACAAGAAGGAAUAGAAUCUACUUCUCUCCCUCCUAACUGCAUUGGGUCUGUAGGGCCAACAAGACGAGAGUAAAAAGUAUCAAAAACUUAUUUUUGUCAUUAAGAUAAGUAGAUACAACUCUGAAUACACAAAUGAAAGAAAUGUUGAAUGAAAAUGUGUCUUCUUUUUACCUAGUCUCUUUUUGAAACAGACUGCACUUUAAGAAAUUAAAAAAUAAGAGCUCUGUGUAACCUCAGAAGCAUGUCUCUUUCAUCAACAGAAGUUGGUUCAAUAAAAGAUAUUACCUAGCA